rnacentral:sRNA from 1 species
UUUCCCCUCUGACAACUCUACCUUCCGAAGCCCUGCAGACAGAAGCUAUUAAAUUAUUUAAGACCUGCCAGCUUUUUAUAAAUGCUGCAGUUGACUCUCCUGCAAUUGAUUACCACAUAUCUUUAGCCCAGAGUGCUUUGCAAAUCUGCCUGACACAUCCUGAGCUGCAGAAUGAAAUUUGCUGUCAGCUUAUUAAACAGACAAGAUGAAGACAGCCACAGAAUCAACCAGGACCAUUGCAGAUCAUGCAUAUGUGAAAGAAGCAAAACGUUUUUGGGUUAAGAGAGACUGUCAUCAGCCCAUUGCACUCACUCAGAUGUGGAUCUCUGACUGGCAUGUGGUAUCUAACCUAUGGUGCUUCUCCCUGCCCAGGGCUGGCAGCUCUUGGCACUCUGCGUUGGGCUCUUCCUUCCCCAUCAUCCUUUCCUGUGGCUCCUCAGUCUUCACCUAAAGAGGAAUGCAGAUUCCAGGACAGAAUUUGGAAAAUAUGCCAUUUACUGCCAGCGUUGUGUAGAAAGAACGCAACAAAAUGGUGACAGAGAAGCAAGACCCUCAAGGAUGGAAAUUCUUUCAACUCUUCUCCGAAACCCUUAUCACCAUUCUUUGCCCUUUAGUAUACCUGUGCACUUCAUGAAUGGGAUAUACCAGGUAGUUGGUUUUGACGCAUCUACCACAGUGGAAGAAU